rnacentral:rRNA from 1 species
AGUGGCUCAGGACGACGCUGGCGGCGUGCCUAACACAUGCAAGUCGAGCGAAUGAAGUUCCUUCGGGAACGGAUUUAGCGGCGGACGGGUGAGUAACACGUGGGCAACCUGCCUCAUAGAGGGGAAUAGCCUUCCGAAAGGGAGAUUAAUACCGCAUAAGAUUGUAGUACCGCAUGGUACAGCAAUUAAAGGAGCAAUCUGCUAUGAGAUGGGCCCGCGGCGCAUUAGCUAGUUGGUGAGGUAACGGCUCACCAAGGCGACGAUGCGUAGCCGACCUGAGAGGGUGAUCGGCCACAUUGGGACUGAGACACGGCCCAGACUCCUACGGGAGGCAGCAGUGGGGAAUAUUGCACAAUGGGGGAAACCCUGAUGCAGCAACGCCGCGUGAGUGAUGACGGCCUUCGGGUUGUAAAGCUCUGUCUUCAGGGACGAUAAUGACGGUACCUGAGGAGGAAGCCACGGCUAACUACGUG